AGAGCGGUAGCCCGGAGAUGGGCACUGAGACAAGGGCCCAGGCCCUACGGGGCGCAGCAGUUGCGAAAACUCCGCAAUGGGCGAAAGCGCGACGGGGUUACCCCGAGUGCCGUCCGCUGAGGACGGCUUUUCUCCGGUGUAAUGAGUCGGAGGUAAUAAGGGGAGGGCAAGACUGGUGUCAGCCGCCGCGGUAAUACCAGCUCCCCUAGUGGUAGGGACAAUUAUUGGGCUUAAAGCGUCCGUAGCCGGCUUGCUAAGUCUUCCGUUAAAUCCAGCGACCUAAUCGCUGGGCUGCGGGAGAUACUAUCAGGCUAGGGGGCGGGAGAGGCCGACGGUAUUCUCGGGGUAGGGGUGAAAUCCUAUAAUCCUGAGAAGACCACCAGUGGCGAAGGCGGUCGGCU
rnacentral:rRNA from 1 species